rnacentral:SRP_RNA from 1 species
GCCGGGUGCGGUGGCUCGCGCCUGUAAUCCAAGUUACCGGGAGGCUGAGACUGGUGGAUCGUUUGAGCUUAGGAGCUCUGAGCUGCAGUGGACUAUGUCGAUCGGGUGUCCGCACUAAGUUCGGUAUCGAUAUGGUGCUCCUGGGGGAGCCCGGGACCACCAGGUCGCCUAAGGAGGGGUGCACCGGCCCAGGUCGGACACGGAGCAGGUCAAAGCCCCCGUGCCGCUCAGUAGUGGGAUCGCGCCUGUGAAUAGACGCUGUAGUGCAGCCUGAGUAAUACAGCGGGACCCAGUCUUUU